rnacentral:rRNA from 1 species
GAUGAACGCUGGCAGAGUGCUUAACACAUGCAAGUCAACUUGAAUGUGGGUGUUUAACUUAGGUUUGGGUGGCGGACGGGUGAGUAACGCGUAAAGAACUUGCCUCACAGCUAGGGACAACAUUUGGAAACGAAUGCUAAUACAUAAUAUUAUGAUAAUAGCGCCUCGUAGAAUUAUGAAAACUAUCAGCGCUGUGGGAGAGCUUUGCGUCCCAUUAGCUAGUUGGAGAGGUAGCGGCUCACCAAGGCGAUGAUGGGUAGCCGGCCUGAGAGGGUGACCGGCCACAAGGGGACUGAGACACGGCCCUUACUCCUACGGGAGGCAGCAGUGGGGAAUAUUGGACAAUGGACCGAGAGUCUGAUCAAGAAAUUCGGUGUGGACGAUGAAGUUUUUCGGAAUGAAAAGUGUUUUCAGUUGGGAAGAAACAAAUGACGGUACCAACAGAAGAAGUGACGGCUAAAUACGUG